rnacentral:rRNA from 1 species
AGGCAGCAGUGGGGAAUAUUGCACAAUGGGCGCAAGCCUGAUGCAGCCAUGCCGCGUGUAUGAAGAAGGCCUUCGGGUUGUAAAGUACUUUCAGCAGUGAGGAAGGUGGGUAUGUUAAUAGCAUACUCAUUUGACGUUAGCUGCAGAAGAAGCACCGGCUAACUCCGUGCCAGCAGCCGCGGUAAUACGGAGGGUGCGAGCGUUAAUCGGAAUUACUGGGCGUAAAGCGCAUGCAGGUGGUUUGUUAAGUCAGAUGUGAAAGCCCGGGGCUCAACCUCGGAAUUGCAUUUGAAACUGGCAAACUAGAGUACUGUAGAGGGGGUAGAAUUUCAGGUGUAGCGGUGAAAUGCGUAGAGAUCUGAAGGAAUACCGGUGGCGAAGGCGGCCCCCUGGACAGAUACUGACACUCAGAUGCGAAAGCGUGGGGAGCAAACAGGAUUAGAUAACCUGGUAG